rnacentral:rRNA from 1 species
CCUACGGGGCGCAGCAGUGGGGAAUAUUGCACAAUGGGGGAAACCCUGAUGCAGCGACGCCGCGUGAGUGAAGAAGCGUUUCGGCGCGUAAAGCUCUGUCAGCGGGGAAGAAACACGGUUCGCGAGUGCCGCGGACGGUACCCGACCAAGAAGCCCCGGCUAACUACGUGCCAGCAGCCGCGGUAAUACGGAGGGGGCAAGCGUUAUCCGGAUUCACUGGGUGUAAAGGGAGGGGAGAAGGGGAGACAAGGCUGGAGUGAAAGGCCGGGGCCCAACCCCGGGACUGCUCUGGAAACCGCCUGGCUAGAGUACAGGAGAGGUAAGUGGAAUUCGUGGUGUAGCGGUGAAAUGCGUAGAUAUUAGGAGGAACACCAGUGGCGAAGGCGGCUUACUGGACUGUAACUGACGUUGAGGCUCGAAAGCGUGGGGAGCGAACAGGAUUAGAUACCCGGGUAGUC